rnacentral:lncRNA from 1 species
CUAGUUACACAGAAUGAUGUACACCACUUACGAAGUUUUCUUUCUGAUCAACUUGUGCAGAUCCUUGCAACUAUAUUGUUGGUCUAAAGAUCCCUGUAAGAAAAUGUUGAAAAAACCUUAGAUCCUUCUUUUCUCUCUCGCACGCACAAACAAAACCCUCAACAACUCAUAAAAAUCCAAUCUUUCCCUCUCACACUCUUCUUCAGCUAACAACAACAUAUCCCUCAAGCGAUUUCAAUUAUCAAAUAUUGCCAUAACAUGGGUUUCGUUCAUUGGGAUAUAAAGCUAGAAAAUAACCUCCUUGCAAACUCCGUGAGAAAUAGGUCCAUCCUGUUGAACAGAGGAAUUCACGUUAACACAUCCCAAUUCAAGCAGCAGUUUCCUGAAGGCAGUAGUAAAGCCAAGAAAGAUAUCUUGUGCAUAGUUAGAAAAAAAUCAUAAGUCUCUUUGACAUGCAUAUGGAUUAGCAUUGAUUUGGAUCACUUGAAUAACCACUCCUCUCAGCAUAUCAAUUUUGAGAGAGAGAGAGAGAGAGAGAGAAUCGAUUUCUUUAACUUUAGCCUUCAUGACUUUUUUUUGUUCUAGAGGGUAGGGUGACAGAGAUAGGAAAAAAAAUAAAGAAGACAAAAGAUGGCAAAUUGAUCUGACAGAUUGAAACUCAAUUGAAAUGCAGCUUGAUUUAACCAGUAAUCUCCAGAGCUACAACAAUACACAAAUUGCUCAACAACAAAAAUUAAAGUAAAAUCCCCAACUAAACACAAAUAAACCCACCAGCUUUUUCAGUAAUACAAAACUAAAUCUGAUCAAAUGGGCGUCACAUUUCAUGCACAUAAUGAGAACCCAUACAAUCUAGAAGAAAUGGCUCCCAAAAUCACGCCGGAUUUUCUAGGUCGGUGCCCAUGUUUUUGUUCUUUUUUUAGGCAAGUUCUCGGUUGGUUCUUGAUUGAUUCCAGAUUUCUAUGCCAUUUGAUUGUAGUCCCGACCCCAACACCAAUCUCAUCCCCUGCAAACCUCACCUAACCAUCCUAGCCCUAAUAAUUGUCC